rnacentral:tRNA from 2 species
AAGAGUUUAGUUUAAAUUUAAAAUGUUAGAUUGUAAAUCUAAAGUUAUUUACUCUUG